rnacentral:tRNA from 1 species
UGCAGGAGUGGUGGAACUGGCAGACACGCUAGACUUAGGAUCUAGUGCCUUAGGCAUGUGGGUUCAAGUCCCACCUUCUGCAA